rnacentral:rRNA from 1 species
ACACAUGCAAGUCGAGGGGCAGCAUGAUUGAAGCUUGCUUCAAUUGAUGGCGACCGGCGCACGGGUGAGUAACGCGUAUCCAACCUUCCGUACACUCAGGGAUAGCCUUUCGAAAGAAAGAUUAAUACCUGAUGGUAUGAUGAGAUUGCAUGAUAUCAUCAUUAAAGAUUCAUCGGUGUACGAUGGGGAUGCGUUCCAUUAGGUAGUAGGCGGGGUAACGGCCCACCUAGCCUACGAUGGAUAGGGGUUCUGAGAGGAAGGUCCCCCACAUUGGAACUGAGACACGGUCCAAACUCCUACGGGAGGCAGCAGUGAGGAAUAUUGGUCAAUGGACGAGAGUCUGAACCAGCCAAGUAGCGUGAAGGAUGAAGGUCCUACGGAUUGUAAACUUCUUUUAUAAGGGAAUAAAACCUCCCACGUGUGGGAGCUUGUAUGUACCUUAUGAAUAAGCAUCGGCUAACUCCGUGCCAGCAGCCGCGGUAAUACGGAGGAUGCGAGCGUUAUCCGGAUUUAUUGGGUUUAAAGGGAGCGCAGACGGGCCGUUAAGUCAGCUGUGAAAGUUUGGGGCUCAACCUUAAAAUUGCAGUUGAUACUGGCGUCCUUGAGUGCGGUUGAGGUGUGCGGAAUUCGUGGUGUAGCGGUGAAAUGCUUAGAUAUCACGAAGAACUCCGAUUGCGAAGGCAGCACACUAAGCCGUAACUGACGUUCAUGCUCGAAAGUGUGGGUAUCAAACAGGAUUAGAUACCCUGGUAGUCCACACGGUAAACGAUGGAUACUCGCUGUUGGCGAUAUACAGUCAGCGGCUUAGCGAAAGCGUUAAGUAUCCCACCUGGGGAGUACGCCGG